UAGACCAAAUUUUUCAUUGAAAUCAUUAUCAACUUUUUUUGUUUACUGACAACAUGGUUUUCAACAAGACAAUACAGUGUUUGGUAAAUGAAAUAUUUUGCAGGCAAAGGAUUCAUACAUGAUUCAGUUGAUAAAGAGCUAAAGGAUAGGAAUAUAAUUAAUGCUGGUCACCUGGUUUUAUUGAAAAUGGGUCUUGUCAGAUAAACCCAAUUUCAUUCUUUGAUGAGAAUACAAGUUUGGUUGAUAAAGGUAACUCCACGGCUGUAAUAUACUUAGACUUUUGUAAGGCACUUAGUACCUCUCGACAUUCUGAUUAAAAUGUUAGCACUAUACAAUAUUAAAUGAACACGCUAAAUAAGAACUGACUAAAUGACAAAUCUCAAAAAGUAGUCAUCAGUGGGGAACCAUCACUGAAGCAGGCCUUUCACUAGGGAUUGAUCCUAGACCCAACACUAUUCAACAUUUCCAUAAAUGACAUUAAAGUAAAUAUAAAAUCACUGCUGAUAAAAUGUGCAGAUAACACAAAGAUUAGUGAAGUGGUAAAUAAUAAUGAAGACAGGGCAACCAUACAGAGGUGAUCUGGAUCACUUGGUAAACUGGGCACAUUCAAACAAAAUGCAAUUUAAUAUAUCUAGGAAGAAGAAAUGCCAGGGGACCGUAUCCUGGAAAGGAUUCAGAGGCCAAAGUGGACAUGCAACUCAACAUGAGCUCCCAGUACGAUGCUGUAGCGAACAGGAUCACUGUGAGCACAGAAAGAAGUCGUUUCCUUACACUGCUGAAUAAAUAUAACAUUAUACAAAAUAAGUGUUUGAUCCUGAAAAUAUUACUCACAUAAGUAAUUGUUCUUCUCACUGACUUCAUUGGAACUGCUCAUGUGAGUGAGGACUAUUUGCAUGCAUAAGAUUUGCUGCAAAAUCUGGUCCCAAAACAAAAGUAACUGGCUGAUCCAAACCUAAACCAAGUCAGAACUCAAGUCAAAGACUAUGAGUGUCUGAGCUAAAACCAGCAGGAUGCUGUUGCAGUUUCUUAUUUCCUGAACAAUGAAUCUCUGUAAUAUCUUUAACUGAUUUUUUUUCUUUUUAAUUUAGGAAUCCAGGAGAAGAUUCAAAUCUAAGAAGCUGAGAAUUUCAUUUUUCAACCAACUUGUUGAACAGUAAAUCAUAUUGCAUACCAUAAAAGUACUUUAAUUAAUGCAUAGGCAAUAGCAACACUAAACCUGUAGUAGAUAUAUAAUACAGCUAAAUAUGUAAUAGAUAGUUUUACUAAUGUGCAUUAAAACUGAUGUCUUCAUUACAUGUAUUUUUUUUUAAACCCAAAUUUGGGGAGGCGUUAUUUGUAGGGAAAGAGAAACCAUGGAAGAACGUGAGAACACACACACACACACACACACACACACAUCUAGAUUCAAAAACAGCUGAAUGGAUUUAAUUCAAACUUUCCCAUAAUUCAUUUUUGGGCUCAGACCAAAAACUGGGAAGUUCCCAGCCAGAAAGAAUAUUUCUGAGAAAAUUCUAAGCAUUUGAAAAGCGAGUGAAAGUACCUUUUUAUAUAUUUUUUGCAAGGUUAGGGGCCGAGGCCUGUAAAGCCUUACUCACAUGACUACUCCCGUUGACUUCAAUGAGAAAACUGAUACCAAUAAUUAGUGCCAGGCUCAGACCCUGGACAAAACAGCUGGAGCAGUGAAAAGCUGCUCUAAAAGCUCUAGAUCUGGCCAGAGGAUAAUUUCCCUUGCGCAGGAAGCGAGGAGCUCUUUGUAGGCCCCAGCAUAGGGGGCAUGAUGGGGUAGGGCUGGGAGCAGAGGAAGUGAUAUUUCCAAGGUUAUGAAAGCAGUGAGUACCCUCCACUCUCACUGAGGCCAGAGGCCCCUUUAUCUUUGUUAGCAAUAAGGAUAGUGUUAGAGUCAGACGGCACAUCCAACUAGCUGAGUACCCGACAUGUGUGUGCAAACAGGUACUUCAAUGUCUACAUGGCCCAAGCUGCCCCCAGGGAGACUAAGCUUUGUAAAAUCAGGUCUGCAAACAAACAGAUCAGGCAAGUGUUAUUACAAAGAGCAAGCCGGCAGGUGUUUGUUCUGUUUUAAAUGGGUGAUCUUAAUGCUCUUAUCCGGGUAACAAACAUAAACGAAGAGCUCCCCUUCGUGUCAUUCUCUUUAUGUCAUGGGGUUCAUUCACUGUUAGGCAACUCCUCCUCCUGGCUGCUCUAGGGAUUAGCUCCAUUCAGGUCUGAAGCCCCCUUCUGUGGUUUCUCACCCUAUGGUCUCGCAUUGUCUCUGGAGUCAGGUUACUCCCGCUUCAUCAUUCAGGCAACUCCCUCCUUGUGAUUCAGCCCUCUGGCUAGGUCACUACCUAGCCCGCCCCGGCUGGGGUACCAAAGUCCCACUGGACAAUCUGUCUCAGGCAGACUCCCAUUCCACUGCCCAGUCUGUGCCACUUCCCCAGUGACUGGAAAGGGAACCCGGGCCCACCCACUACUCUGAGUUCCAGCCCAGGGACCCUACAACCAGCCACCAAAGUCUGCACUGUCCGAAACCUUGCUGCUGUUUCCCUAGGCUACUUCCCACUUUGGCUCCAUCUUCUCCACUCUCCUCUGGGUACACCCUUCCUUCAAGGCUAGACUACCAGGGUUCUGUUCUCCCCCUGGUUUCCACCUGUCCCCCACUCAGCCCAGUGAGUGACUGCAGACCUUCACAUACUGCCAUCUCCUGCACAUCACUUCCUGGUUAUCUGUCAGCCCAGCCUGCACCUGCCCAGCUGGGCGUCAUCGUCAGUUGGAGCUUACCAGGCCUGACUCUGCUCCAGGGGCAGCCUGGCAUGGGGUUCGUUACCUGGCCGUUUUGACUUCCUUAGGCCUUGUGUGAGGUAAACCCCCCCAUCACACUUUGACUAAACACAGGGUUUGUACCAGUUGAUUUCUUAAAGAAGUGACCAGAGAUGACACGGGAAGACAUAAAGUAUUUCAGAAAAUAAGAAUAAAAACACAAAAGGCACCUGCAGAGCUCUGUGUGCUGACAGGCAGGGCGUGCAGCAUUCAGAAAGAACCAUUUAAAGGGUACGCUGCUCCUAGGCCAUAUCUUCUGAGGACUUUGUACAGCAACGAGCACAAUGGGCCCCCAGUUUUGACUGCAGCCUUUGCGCACGACUGUAACAUAAUAAUAUCUAUUCUCAAGUAUUUGCACUGAGAGAGAGAAAGCAUCUGUAAUCAAACACCUACUAGGGCAGAUCUCUGAACUACUAUCUGCACUACUUCUGGCCCGAGAAAAGAAUAUUGAGCCUUUAUUUCACUAGUAAAUGUUCAGAGCACUUUGCAAAUGUCAAUGACUCCUCAGAGCACCCUGGGUGAGGGGUAAAUCAAUAUCAUUAGCGCCAUUUUAUAGAUGGGGAAAAUAAUGCAGAGUUUAAAAAAUGUGUCCAAGGCCACAGGGAACAUUUGUCAACACAUGGUUUCGGACGCAGAUGCUCCCAGCACUCUUGCUGUUAAGAAGUUCCAUAUGUUCGUGGCAUACAGAUCUGUAUUCAUCUAAGCUCGAUCCUGUAAAUAUGUACUACAAUGGAUAGUGCUUGCUACCAUGGUUCCUCUGACUUUAGCUCCUGAAAGGAGCUGAGCAUCCUCAGUUCCCAUUGACUUUGAUGCCAGUAAUAUGGCCUGUAGUUAGAGUUUACAGGAUUGGGCCCUAUUACUAUUAUUCCAUUCCCUAACCACGAUAAAGGGGCUUGAUCCUGCAAGGUGCUGAGUGCCCCUGGUUUCAAUGAGAGUUGAGGGUGCUCAUCGCCUUCCAGGAGGUGGUCAGCACAGGAUCACGCCCUUUGUACCAAACAGUGCAUUGUCAUUGUGCCAAAUCUUGACAGGGGCUGAGCACUGGCAGGUUUCAUUGGGCCAAGUCUAGAGUUCCUGUCUUAAGCCAAGGAAAUUUACCUCUGUGUUGACUGAAGAAAAGCUGAGUUGGUACCUCAGGAUUUGACUUCUUGACCUUUGUGAGAGUUUCAGGUGCUCAGCACCUCUGUUGGCCCAAUAUGUGAAGUCAUGAUUCUCCUCAUCUCUCACUGACUUCCACAGGAGCUAAGUGCACUCAACAGUUCCCUUCAGGAUCAGGCCAUACUACAGGUAUAUUACUUCUGAAAAGUUGCUACACUUGUCAAUCAAUCCCAUAAAAACACGUCCUCCCUCAUUCCUCUGGGUGGGGAAAGUCCUUAGGGUAGGGAUAUUAAAUGAUAUUUCAUUGAAGUCUUCAUUGAGCAACUGCCUUGAUGUCAGAAGAUUACUGGUUGGUUUUAAAAUGAAGUCGAUUUGUUAAAUGAAAAGGGCAAACACCGGCAGGGACAUUUGAUAUUUUCCUUUUAGGGAACACUAUAGUUCUUACUGCUUCAUCCUUUAGUUUAUUCAGGUUCUUAUGCUGUGCCCAUCACCAUGGUAUCCGAAUAUUGAAGCAACCAUUUGACUUGGCACGGCCUCACAUUUAGAGCUUUCAAUCACUGGAACAUCGACUAGUCCAGAAUACAGUUAUUUAAGGGCUGAAUUACCAUGCAUUUACUUCUCUGCCAUCUUCCAAACUGAUGCCGAUCUAGUGUAGUAACAAGGAGCACUAUGUUAACAAACUUGCCCGAAUAAUAUAAUGUUGUUUUGUUGUGAUUUUUAGAAAAAGGGUUUUCAUCUCCGUUCGGUACAAUGGCCGUAGUGCUGGCUGAGCUGGACAACAAAACUCCAGAACCCUACAUCUAGUCUGGAGACACGCUUGUAUGUAUUUUAAUAGCAAUUACCAAUGUUUGAGUGCUGAUAACACGCAUAACCAUUACUUUUUAUCAAUGCAGCACAUUUUCUUUGACUAUUGCAAACAUCUGGACUUUGGCAGCAAGUUUCACCUUCUUUCUCAUAGAUUUUUCCUGGGAAACACACAAAUAAGGAAACCACCCACACAGGACGUUUGAUGAAACUAGCCUUGUGCCCAGAUAUUUUCCGUUUCUUUUCUCAGACCCAGCUCAAAGUAGCAACCUCAAGAACCAUCACACUGAAAGUCCAAGGUGUCAUGUUUCCAGUACGAACAGUAAAAGGGUAUUUUGCUCACAUAGUCUAACGGAACAACACCUGUCACAGGACUCUGCUAGGAGUACUAUGCACAUAGUAAAUAUCAAAAUAAGAUUGAUGGCUAAGAGUGACGACAUCACUAGACCUCAUGCCAUGCUGCACAUGACAUUGCAUGGGAUGUGAUGUUGCAUCCUAAACUAUUUGCCUUCUUCAGCAUGACAUACCCCCUUUCACUAGCUGAUCGUUAAUAGCAAGAUUCCCCUUAUCUAGCGAGGGAAGCUAAUGGGUUUGGGUGUAUAGCCCAGGACUCUUAAACCAACAACUAAUAAGUAGCCACACCCUUAGAAGUGAUA